UUUAAUUUUUAACUCUAUUUUUGUGGCGCUUUCUAUUUGUUUUUAUUUUUUAUUUUAUUUUUUGUAAAAUGUUGUAAUUUUGUUUUUAUUUUAGGGAGUGUUUAAAAUUUGGUUUUUGAACUGGAUUAGUACCCAGGUAAACAAAAUUUAUUAAUGCGGGAGUAAAGUUUUUUUUAAACCGAAAAAAUAUUGACUGACCUUGGAUUUUUCUUUGGAAUAUGUGUUUUUGGAGAGCCCUCCUUGUUUGGUGACUUUAUUGGUGCAUGUAUGAUUGUUUAGUUUUUAUUUUGUUUGUAAUGCUAUUUAUUUUUUAUUAAAAACAGAUAUAUACUUGGCUUAUGGGUUACUUUUCAUGUAUUACUAUUAUUAAUUUUUUUCGGAUUAAUUUUUUAUUUUAUUUUGAAGUUGGAAAAGAAAGUAAUUUUUUUUUUAUGUGAUAAUGAAUUUAAUAA
rnacentral:rRNA from 1 species